AUACAAGUUAAUUUUAGUUAAAAUGAUAUGAGGAAAAAGCACGAAAAAUAUAACCUGUUAACAAGGCACUCCAAUAUACAGAGGAAGAGCGUCAGACACAUAAUGUUGCUUGUAAAUCCUACCAAAACCGUUACUGUACCAUAUACAAUUUGGAAUAUCAUGACAUCAUGCGGCUUAUUGCUUAUUGCUUACAGCUGAUUAGGUCUAUUAAAUUAUGCGAUAUGGAGUCAAUGUCGUCACUAAAAUACUAGACCUGUCGGAUUCUGUAUCUGAUGUUUUUUUUCGCAUUUCAUACGAAUUACUAGUGCGAUGGAUGUUAAAAAACUCAUGGAUGAAAUCGAAAUUUAUUUCACAAAAUGUAUGCGAUAAAAAGAAGGAAAUUAUUUUUAAUCCAUUUAAAUGUGGGCUUAAAAUUUCGAAUUUAGAUAAAAAAAGACUUAAAUGGAAAGUAAUAUUAACGGGAAGUUUAACCAAAUAUGCACCUAUCCAAGAAGAAAUGUUUAUGCAAGGCGAAUAUAUGUUACAACCUCUCUAAUGACAAAUGAAGAGUGAUUGUGAAAAUAAAAAAGAACAAUUUAAUUUACAAAGGAAAAAUAUAUAACUGAACGACAUUACUGAGGAUAUUUUCUUAAUAAAAUAGAAUACUAGAACAAGAAAAGUCACCAAUGUUGCAAAUUUGAUUGUCCAUUAAACUAGGGUUCUAUCAAUUCUGGAAAAUAGUUUCAUCGCUUAUUAUGGAUUGUAGAAAGUAAAAAUCUUUUCUAUUAUAAAAAGUAUAA